UACGUAGGGGGCAAGCGUUGUCCGGAUUUAUUGGGCGUAAAGAGCUCGUAGGUGGUUCGGUAAGUCGGAUGUGAAAUCUCCAGGCUCAACCUGGAGGGGUCAUUCGAUACUGCCGUGACUAGAGUUCGGUAGGGGAGUGUGGAAUUCCUGGUGUAGCGGUGAAAUGCGCAGAUAUCAGGAGGAACACCGGUGGCGAAGGCGGGUCUCUGGGCCGUAACUGACGCUGAGGAGCGAAAGCGUGGGGAGCGAACAGG
rnacentral:rRNA from 1 species